rnacentral:rRNA from 1 species
GUCUUUUUGAGUUAUUUUUAAAGUCUGACCUGCCCACUGAAAUUUUUUAAAUGGCCGCAGUAUUUUAACUGUGCAAAGGUAGCAUAAUCAUUAGUCUUUUAAUUGAAGGCUGGUAUGAACGGUUGGACGAAGUAUAAGCUGUUUCAUAUAAAUUUAUAAUAGAAUUUUAUAUUUUAGUCAAAAAGCUAAAAUAUUAUUAAAAGACGAGAAGACCCUAUAAAUCUUUAUAUUUUAUUUUAUUUAAGUUUUUUGGAUUAUUUUUAUUUUUAUAAAAUGAAAUAUUUUGUUGGGGUGAUAUUAAAAUUUAAUGAACUUUUAAUUAUUUUUAGUCAUUAAUUUAUGAAUUGUUGAUCCAUUAUUAGUGAUUAUAAGAUUAAGUUACUUUAGGGAUAACAGCGUAAUUUUUUUGGAGAGUUCAUAUCGAUAAAAAAGUUUGCGACCUCGAUGUUGGAUUAAGAUAUAAUUUUAGGUGUAGCCGCUUAAAUGUUAAGUCUGUUCGACUUUUAAAUUCUU